GGGUUGUGAGGUUAAGCGACUAAGCGUACACGGUGGAUGCCCUGGCAGUCAGAGGCGAUGAAGGACGUGCUAAUCUGCGAUAAGCGUCGGUAAGGUGAUAUGAACCGUUAUAACCGGCGAUUUCCGAAUGGGGAAACCCAGUGUGUUUCGACACACUAUCAUUAACUGAAUCCAUAGGUUAAUGAGGCGAACCGGGGGAACUGAAACAUCUAAGUACCCCGAGGAAAAGAAAUCAACCGAGAUUCCCCCAGUAGCGGCGAGCGAACGGGGAGCAGCCCAGAGCCUGAAUCAGUGUGUGUGUUAGUGGAAGCGUCUGGAAAGGCGCGCGAUACAGGGUGACAGCCCCGUACACAAAAAUGCACAUGCUGUGAGCUCGAUGAGUAGGGCGGGACACGUGGUAUCCUGUCUGAAUAUGGGGGGACCAUCCUCCAAGGCUAAAUACUCCUGACUGACCGAUAGUGAACCAGUACCGUGAGGGAAAGGCGAAAAGAACCCCGGCGAGGGGAGUGAAAAAGAACCUGAAACCGUGUACGUACAAGCAGUGGGAGCACGCUUAGGCGUGUGACUGCGUACCUUUUGUAUAAUGGGUCAGCGACUUAUAUUCUGUAGCAAGGUUAACCGAAUAGGGGAGCCGAAGGGAAACCGAGUCUUAACUGGGCGUUAAGUUGCAGGGUAUAGACCCGAAACCCGGUGAUCUAGCCAUGGGCAGGUUGAAGGUUGGGUAACACUAACUGGAGGACCGAACCGACUAAUGUUGAAAAAUUAGCGGAUGACUUGUGGCUGGGGGUGAAAGGCCAAUCAAACCGGGAGAUAGCUGGUUCUCCCCGAAAGCUAUUUAGGUAGCGCCUCGUGAAUUCAUCUCCGGGGGUAGAGCACUGUUUCGGCAAGGGGGUCAUCCCGACUUACCAACCCGAUGCAAACUGCGAAUACCGGAGAAUGUUAUCACGGGAGACACACGGCGGGUGCUAACGUCCGUCGUGAAGAGGGAAACAACCCAGACCGCCAGCUAAGGUCCCAAAGUCAUGGUUAAGUGGGAAACGAUGUGGGAAGGCCCAGACAGCCAGGAUGUUGGCUUAGAAGCAGCCAUCAUUUAAAGAAAGCGUAAUAGCUCACUGGUCGAGUCGGCCUGCGCGGAAGAUGUAACGGGGCUAAACCAUGCACCGAAGCUGCGGCAGCGACGCUUAUGCGUUGUUGGGUAGGGGAGCGUUCUGUAAGCCUGUGAAGGUGUGCUGUGAGGCAUGCUGGAGGUAUCAGAAGUGCGAAUGCUGACAUAAGUAACGAUAAAGCGGGUGAAAAGCCCGCUCGCCGGAAGACCAAGGGUUCCUGUCCAACGUUAAUCGGGGCAGGGUGAGUCGACCCCUAAGGCGAGGCCGAAAGGCGUAGUCGAUGGGAAACAGGUUAAUAUUCCUGUACUUGGUGUUACUGCGAAGGGGGGACGGAGAAGGCUAUGUUGGCCGGGCGACGGUUGUCCCGGUUUAAGCGUGUAGGCUGGUUUUCCAGGCAAAUCCGGAAAAUCAAGGCUGAGGCGUGAUGACGAGGCACUACGGUGCUGAAGCAACAAAUGCCCUGCUUCCAGGAAAAGCCUCUAAGCAUCAGGUAACAUCAAAUCGUACCCCAAACCGACACAGGUGGUCAGGUAGAGAAUACCAAGGCGCUUGAGAGAACUCGGGUGAAGGAACUAGGCAAAAUGGUGCCGUAACUUCGGGAGAAGGCACGCUGAUAUGUAGGUGAAGUCCCUCGCGGAUGGAGCUGAAAUCAGUCGAAGAUACCAGCUGGCUGCAACUGUUUAUUAAAAACACAGCACUGUGCAAACACGAAAGUGGACGUAUACGGUGUGACGCCUGCCCGGUGCCGGAAGGUUAAUUGAUGGGGUUAGCGGUAACGCGAAGCUCUUGAUCGAAGCCCCGGUAAACGGCGGCCGUAACUAUAACGGUCCUAAGGUAGCGAAAUUCCUUGUCGGGUAAGUUCCGACCUGCACGAAUGGCGUAAUGAUGGCGGGCUGUCUCCACCCGAGACUCAGUGAAAUUGAACUCGCUGUGAAGAUGCAGUGUACCCGCGGCAAGACGGAAAGACCCCGUGAACCUUUACUAUAGCUUGACACUGAACAUUGAGCCUUGAUGUGUAGGAUAGGUGGGAGGCUUAGAAGUGUGGACGCCAGUCUGCAUGGAGCCGACCUUGAAAUACCACCCUUUAAUGUUUGAUGUUCUAACGUUGACCCGUAAUCCGGGUUGCGGACAGUGUCUGGUGGGUAGUUUGACUGGGGCGGUCUCCUCCUAAAGAGUAACGGAGGAGCACGAAGGUUGGCUAAUCCUGGUCGGACAUCAGGAGGUUAGUGCAAUGGCAUAAGCCAGCUUGACUGCGAGCGUGACGGCGCGAGCAGGUGCGAAAGCAGGUCAUAGUGAUCCGGUGGUUCUGAAUGGAAGGGCCAUCGCUCAACGGAUAAAAGGUACUCCGGGGAUAACAGGCUGAUACCGCCCAAGAGUUCAUAUCGACGGCGGUGUUUGGCACCUCGAUGUCGGCUCAUCACAUCCGGGGCUGAAGUAGGUCCCAAGGGUAUGGCUGUUCGCCAUUUAAAGUGGUACGCGAGCUGGGUUUAGAACGUCGUGAGACAGUUCGGUCCCUAUCUGCCGUGGGCGCUGGAGAACUGAGGGGGGCUGCUCCUAGUACGAGAGGACCGGAGUGGACGCAUCACUGGUGUUCGGGUUGUCAUGCCAAUGGCACUGCCCGGUAGCUAAAUGCGGAAGAGAUAAGUGCUGAAAGCAUCUAAGCACGAAACUUGCCCCGAGAUGAGUUCUCCCUGACUCCUUGAGAGUCCUGAAGGAACGUUGAAGACGACGACGUUGAUAGGCCGGGUGUGUAAGCGCAGCGAUGCGUUGAGCUAACCGGUACUAAUGAACCGUGAGGCUUAACCUUACAACGCCGAAG
rnacentral:rRNA from 1 species